AAGAACAGUAUUACGAUUUAAUUUCCAAAUUUACCUUGGAAAUUGAGAAUAUUCGUGACAGAUAUAACGAAGAAAGAGAGCACCCGGAAUUGCCUCGAAAUAUGCCGCCAGUCGCAGGCAGAAUAUUUUGGAUAAGGUUUUACGAUUGCAACAUUAAGAAACCUAUGGAGGUUUUUAUGAAGCACCGUGAUAUUAUUACACAUAUGAAUACACAGAGAUGCAUUAAACUUUACAACGUCAUGCAAAUAGUUGUUACUGAAUAUGAACUU